rnacentral:rRNA from 1 species
UACAGAGGGUGCGAGCGUUGUCCGGAAUCACUGGGCGUAAAGGGCGCGUAGGCGGCCUGGCAAGUCUGUGGUGAAAGCUCGUGGCUCAACUGCGAGUCGGCCAUAGAUACUGCGAGGCUCGAGUCGACUAGAGGCAGAUGGAAUUCCGGGUGUAGCGGUGGAAUGCGUAGAGAUCCGGAAGAAUACCCGUGGCGAAGGCGGCCAGCUGGGCCAGAUCCGACACUGAGGCGCGAAAGCCAGGGGAGCGAACGGG